AACGAACGCUGGCGGCGCGCUUAAUACAUGCAAGUCGAACGAGAAGGUGUAGCAAUACACUUGUAAAGUGGCGAACGGGUGAGGAAUACAUGGGUAACCUACCCUCGAGUGGGGAACAACCAGCCGAAAGGUUGGCUAAUACCGCGUACGCUUCCGGGUCUUCGGAUUCGGAAGGAAAGUCAUACCGUGGGUAUGACGCUCAAGGAUGGGCUCAUGUCCUAUCAGCUUGUUGGUAGGGUAACGGCCACCAAGGCUCCGACGGGUAGCUGGUCUGAGAGGACGAUCAGCCACACUGGCACUGCGACACGGGCCAGACUCCUACGGGAGGCAGCAGUAAGGAAUAUUGCGCAAUGGGCGAAAGCCUGACGCAGCGACGCCGCGUGGGGAUGAAGGUCUUCGGAUUGUAAACCCCUUUCGGGAGGGAAAAUGGAACGAGCAAUCGUUCGGAUGGUACCUCCAGAAGCAGCCACGGCUAACUUCGUGCCAGCCGCCGCUGUAAG
rnacentral:rRNA from 1 species